UACGUAGGGUGCAAGCGUUGUCCGGAAUUAUUGGGCGUAAAGAGCUCGUAGGCGGCUAGUCACGUCGGAUGUGAAAACCCGAGGCUCAACCUCGGGCCUGCAUUCGAUACGGGCUGGCUAGAGUACUGCAGGGGAGACUGGAAUUCCUGGUGUAGCGGUGAAAUGCGCAGAUAUUGAGAAGAACACCAGAGGCGAAGGCGGGUUGCUGGGCCGACACUGACGCUGAGGCGCGAAAGCCAGGGGAGCAAACGGG
rnacentral:rRNA from 1 species